UGGGGAAUAUUGCACAAUGGGCGCAAGCCUGAUGCAGCCAUGCCGCGUGUAUGAAGAAGGCCUUCGGGUUGUAAAGUACUUUCAGCGGGAGGAAGGCGAUAAGGUUAAUAACCUUGUCGAUUGACGUUACCCGCAGAAGAAGCACCGGCUACUCCGUGCCAGCAGCCGCGUAAUACGAGGGUGCAAGCGUUAAUCGGAAUUACUGGGCGUAAAGCGCACGCAGGCGGUCUGUCAAGUCGGAUGUGAAAUCCCCGGGCUCAACCUGGGAACUGCAUUCGAAACUGGCAGGCUGGAGUCUUGUAGAGGG
rnacentral:rRNA from 1 species